rnacentral:rRNA from 1 species
GACAGCAAUAUGAAGGGCCAGGCUGAAGACUUUGCCGGAUUAGCUGAGAGGUGGUGCAUGGCCGUCGUCAGUUCGUACUGUGAAGCAUCCUGUUAAGUCAGGCAACGAGCGAGACCCACGCCCACAGUUGCCAGCGUACUCUCUGGAGUGACGGGUACACUGUGGGGACCGCCGCUGCUAAAGCGGAGGAAGGAAUGGGCAACGGUAGGUCAGUAUGCCCCGAAUAUCCCGGGCUACACGCGAGCUACAAUGGUUGGUACAAUGGGUAUCUACCCCGAAAGGGGACGGGAAUCUCCUAAAACCAAUCUUAGUUCGGAUUGAGGGCUGCAACUCGCCCUCAUGAAGCUGGAAUCUGUAGUAAUCGCGUUUCAACAGAACGCGGUGAAUACGUCCCUGCUCCUU